rnacentral:tRNA from 1 species
UCCCUGGUGGCUCAGAUGGUAAAGCGUCUGCCUACAAUGCAGGAGACCCGGGUUUGAUCCCUGGGUUGGGAA